GUAGUUAGCCGGGGCUUCCUCCUUGGCUACCGUCAUUUGUUUCGUCACCAAGGACAGAGGUUUACAACCCGAAAGCCUUCUUCCCUCACGCGGCGUUGCUGGGUCAGGCUUGCGCCCAUUGCCCAAUAUUCCCCACUGCUGCCUCCCGUAGGAGUCUGGACCGUGUCUCAGUUCCAGUGUGGCCGAUCAGCCUCUCAGCUCGGCUACCCAUCGUCGACUUGGUGGGCCGUUACCCCGCCAACUAUCUAAUGGGACGCGAACCCCUCUUUCAGCGGAUUGCUCCUUUGACCUCAUCCCGAUGCCGGGUCGUGGUCUUAUGCGGUAUUAGCACUUGUUUCCAGGUGUUAUCCCCCUCUGAAAGGCAGGUUGUUCACGCGUUACUCACCCGUCCGCCACUAAGUAUUCCCAAUUUCCAGCCGAAGCUUUCUUUCGGGGUACUCCGUUCGACUUGCAUGUGUUAGGCACGCCGCCAGCGUUCGUCCUGAGCCAGAAUCAAACUCUGA
rnacentral:rRNA from 1 species